rnacentral:rRNA from 1 species
AUGGGUGUUGGCUCCAACAAUUCUCAUUGGUCUCAAACCAAUGACAUGCAUUUCAAUGAUCAUGAGUUUGAGGUGGACGAGGAUGGUGAGGGCAUCGUCGACGCACCAAAAGGAAGAGGAGGCAACUACACCAUGGAUGAAGACAUCUUGCUAUGCAAUACUUGGUUGCAAGUGUCGAGGGAUCCCUCCAUUGGAGGUGAUCAGAGUAGAGAUGCAUAUUGGCUCUGGAUGAAGGAACACUUUGAUGUGCACAACAAAAGUGGAAUUGACCGCUCCGGAAGAUCUCUUCGCUCCCAGUGGUCGACAAUCAAUCGAGAUUGUCAAAGGUGGGCGGCCGCACUUAAGGUGGUUGACAAGUUGAACCCAAGUGGCACUAAUGAUAUAGAUAGGGUAAGUGCCAUUUCUUACAUGUUCAUCAUGCUUCUUCUUGGUGUUUGUAGUGCUAACUUGUUUUUUAUGUAG